AGGUUUGAGCCUCUAAAGAGUUGACUAGAUCAGAGUGCGCAGCAGAAAUAUGGAAGAAUGUUAAAUAAAAGACUAAGUAUUUUUGUUUGUUUAAAAAUUAAGAAACGUUAAAUUUCGAGGACGAAAUUUUUUUUUAAGGAGGGGAGAAUGUAAGAAUAGGCCCCAAAAAGGGCUGAAGCCGGCAGGCCCAGUCGACUCCAGCGUGCGUUACGAGGGCGGAGACAUCGCAGCAACUCCACAGCCUCUUGAGUGGCCGUGGAUUCCGCUCAACCGCCGCGAGCAUCGCGGUGGUGAGCAGGCCACGACCGUGGUGCAUCGCCUUAUAAAACAUCAGAGAGAAGAAAAGGGGACUCCAGAUCUCAUCUCCUCCCUCAGAGAGCUUCUUUCUUCUUGUUUCUCCCGGAGAUAGGCUUUCUCGAACCCCCAACCAGUGCCGUCGGAGAAAGUAGCCGCAGCUUCUCUCCGGAGCGAGGUGAUCAAGGAUUUGUCACCCGGACGUAAGAAAUUGGAAAGCAAAUUGCUAGGAAUAAGAUUACUAGGAGCAGGAAGCUUGGUGUUAUUCAGGGUUGGGGUAACUGAAAAUAUUAUAUAAUAAUUAAAUUUUAGAAGUUCUAUACUGUUCCAACUUCAUGAACAAUGUUAUGACAUUAGUAAAUGAAACUAUUUAUUUUCAUUAUGAAAUUUUAA